rnacentral:rRNA from 1 species
CCUACGGGUGGCAGCAGUGAGGAAUAUUGGUCAAUGGCCGUGAGGCUGAACCAGCCAAGUAGCGUGAGGGAAGACUGCCCUAUGGGUUGUAAACCUCUUUUAUGCGGGGAUAAAGGUGUCCACGUGUGGAUGUUUGCAUGUACCGCAUGAAUAAGGACCGGCUAAUUCCGUGCCAGCAGCCGCGGUAAUACGGAGGGUCCGGGCGUUAUCCGGAUUUAUUGGGUUUAAAGGGAGCGUAGGUGGGUUGUUAAGCGUGUCGUGAAAGUUUGCGGCUCAACCAUGAGAGUGCGGCGGGAACUGGAGGCCUUGAGUGCGCGGAAGGCAGGCGGAAUUCGUGGUGUAGCGGUGAAAUGCUUAGAUAUCACGAAGAACCCCGAUUGCGAAGGCAGCCUGCCGAAGUGUCACUGACGUUGAAGCUCGAAAGUGCGGGUAUCGAACAGGAUUAGAUACCCUUGUAGUC